rnacentral:snRNA from 1 species
GCUCACUUCAGCUGUACAUAUACUAAAAUUGGAACAAUACAGAGAAGAUUAGCAUGGCUCCUGCACAAAGAUGACAUGCAAAUUCAUGAAGCAUAUUUUU